GCGCCCUCUGCCUGUUGACUUUUACUGUCAGAGUCAGAAGAGCUACAGCGGCUCCAGGCAUAAUCCCACGUGACUUGCAUUUAAGCAGAAAAGGAAGAGAGGAAAAGGACUUUUGCUUCAAUGUUUUUAAGUUGGAAAACGCUUUUCUGAGAGAUUUCAGAAAUCUUCCAUUUACAUCUCCUUGGCCAGAUCCCGGGCACGAGCUCACCCCGGGACCGCUGACAGCCGUUACCACUGCGUCCUCUUAAGGGGACCGUAUUGCUGCUCCUACAAGAUCAUGAUCCUAUCAGUAAAGAAAGGGCUGUGGGGAGAGCAGCUCAUGGUGUCUGCUACCUUGGCUUUUUAGGACCUGGAUCUCGCUCGUGUUUCCAGCCACGUCUCUCCCCCACUUCCUGUCAAGGCUGAAUCACCCACUCAAGACCACAGGAGCUAAACAUCUCUACCAAGACCCUCUGGCUCCAAGGAAAAACACCUAGGCCCUUGUCUUUGUUCUACCCAUUUCAUGGAUGCCCCAGAUGCCAGUCCAUACACCAGACCACCAUCGUCGAUAAAAGCCCCAGACUGGGAACAAAGACAAGACUCAUGCUCUGUUCCUUUCCAAGUCUCCCGGAUGGUCAAUCUGCAUCUGCUCUCUCCAUCUCUUCAGUAAAGUCUGCUUUCACCUCCUUUGGCCUGCAUUUGAUUUCCAGCCUGCAUGAAGCCAAGGACCCUCUUGACUGGUCUUACGGGACCCCCUCUGGUACCUUAGACCCCACCAGCCAGCAUUAGAGUUAUUCAUAAUAAAUCUUCAGAAAUCCACAAAUAAAUAUUUACUUAUAUCCUA